GUAAAUAUCAUAGAACACCCUGAACAAGCCCAAUUUCAUCUGAUCUCAGAAGCUAAGCAGGGAUAGGCCUGGUUAGUACUUGAAUGUGAGACCAUCUAGGAAGACCUGAUGCUGUAGGCA
rnacentral:rRNA from 1 species